rnacentral:rRNA from 1 species
UACAGAGACUGCAAGCGUUAUUCGGAUUCACUGGGCGUAAAGGGUGCGUAGGCGGUCGGGUAAGUCGGAUGUGAAAUCCCAGGGCUCAACCCUGGAACUGCAUUCGAUACUGCCUGGCUAGGGUACUGGAGAGGAGACUGGAAUUUACGGUGUAGCAGUGAAAUGCGUAGAUAUCGUAAGGAAGACCAGUGGCGAAGGCGAGUCUCUGGACAGUUACCGACGCUGAGGCACGAAGGUCAGGGGAGCAAACGGG